GACGAACGCUGGCGGCGUGCCUAACACAUGCAAGUCGAACGAAGUGGCGAACGGGUGAGUAACGCGUAAUCAACCUGCCCUUCAGAGGGUGACAACAGUUGGAAACGACUGCUAAUACCGCAUACUGAAGGAGGGGAUUGCGUCUGAUUAGCGAGUUGGAGGGGUAACGGCCCACCAAGCCUUCGAUGGAUAGGGGUUCUGAGAGGAAGGUCCCCCACAUUGGGACUGAGACACGGCCCAGACUCCUACGGGAGGCAGCAGUGGGGAAUCUUCCGCAAUGGACGAAAGUCUGACGGAGCAACGCCGCGUGAGUGAUGACGGCCUUCGGGUUGUAAAGCUCUGUUAAUCGGGACGCGGUACCGGAAUAGAAAGCCACGGCUAACUACGUGCCAGCAGCCGCGGUAAUAC
rnacentral:rRNA from 1 species